AGAGUUUGAUCCUGGCUCAGGACGAACGCUGGCGGCGUGCCUAAUACAUGCAAGUCGAGCGGGUCUUCAUUAGCUUGCUUUUGAAGAUCAGCGGCGGACGGGUGAGUAACACGUGGGCAACCUGCCUGUAAGACUGGGAUAACUUCGGGAAACCGGAGCUAAUACCGGAUAAUCCUUUCCCUCACAUGAGGGAAAGCUGAAAGACGGUUUCGGCUGUCACUUACAGAUGGGCCCGCGGCGCAUUAGCUAGUUGGUGAGGUAACGGCUCACCAAGGCAACGAUGCGUAGCCGACCUGAGAGGGUGAUCGGCCACACUGGGACUGAGACACGGCCCAGACUCCUACGGGAGGCAGCAGUAGGGAAUCUUCCGCAAUGGACGAAAGUCUGACGGAGCAACGCCGCGUGAGCGAUGAAGGCCUUCGGGUCGUAAAGCUCUGUUGUCAGGGAAGAACAAGUACCGGAGUAACUGCCGGUACCUUGACGGUACCUGACCAGAAAGCCACGGCUAACUACGUGCCAGCAGCCGCGGUAAUACGUAGGUGGCAAGCGUUGUCCGGAAUUAUUGGGCGUAAAGCGCGCGCAGGCGGUUCCUUAAGUCUGAUGUGAAAGCCCCCGGCUCAACCGGGGAGGGUCAUUGGAAACUGGGGAACUUGAGUGCAGAAGAGGAGAGCGGAAUUCCACGUGUAGCGGUGAAAUGCGUAGAGAUGUGGAGGAACACCAGUGGCGAAGGCGGCUCUCUGGUCUGUAACUGACGCUGAGGCGCGAAAGCGUGGGGAGCGAACAGGAUUAGAUACCCUGGUAGUCCACGCCGUAAACGAUGAGUGCUAAGUGUUAGAGGGUUUCCGCCCUUUAGUGCUGCAGCAAACGCAUUAAGCACUCCGCCUGGGGAGUACGGCCGCAAGGCUGAAACUCAAAGGAAUUGACGG
rnacentral:rRNA from 2 species